GUGAGGAAUAUUGGUCAAUGGGCGGGAGCCUGAACCAGCCAAGUCGCGUGAAGGAAGAAGGAUCUAUGGUUCGUAAACUUCUUUUGCAGGGGAAUAAAGUGCAGGACGUGUCCUGUUUUGUAUGUACCCUGAGAAUAAGGAUCGGCUAACUCCGUGCCAGCAGCCGCGGUAAUACGGAGGAUCCGAGCGUUAUCCGGAUUUAUUGGGUUUAAAGGGUGCGUAGGUGGUUUGAUAAGUUAGCGGUGAAAGUUUGCAGCUUAACUGUAAAAAUGCCGUUGGAACUGUCGGACUUGAGUGUAAAUGAGGUAGGCGGAAUGCGUGGUGUAGCGGUGAAAUGCAUAGAUAUCACGCAGAACUCCGAUUGCGAAGGCAGCUUACUAAGCUACAACUGACACUGAAGCACGAAAGCGUGGGGAUCAAACAGGAUUAGAAACCCUGGUAGUCC
rnacentral:rRNA from 1 species